UACAGAGGUCUCAAGCGUUGUUCGGAUUCAUUGGGCGUAAAGGGCGCGUAGGCGGCGGGGUAAGUCGGGUGUGAAAUCUCAGAGCUCAACUCUGAAACUGCACUCGAUACUGCUCUGCUUGAGGACUGGAGAGGAGACUGGAAUUCACGGUGUAGCAGUGAAAUGCGUAGAUAUCGUGAGGAAGACCAGUGGCGGAGGCGGGUCUCUGGACAGUUCCUGACGCUGAGGCGCGAAGGCCAGGGGAGCAAACGGG
rnacentral:rRNA from 1 species